rnacentral:rRNA from 1 species
GGGUUGUGAGGUUAAGCGACUAAGCGUACACGGUGGAUGCCCUGGCAGUCAGAGGCGAUGAAGGGCGUGCUAAUCUGCGAUAAGCGCCGGUAAGGUGAUAUGAACCGUUAUAACCGGCGAUACCCGAAUGGGGAAACCCAGUGUGACUCGUCACACUAUCAUUAACUGAAUCCAUAGGUUAAUGAGGCGAACCGGGGGAACUGAAACAUCUAAGUACCCCGAGGAAAAGAAAUCAACCGAGAUUCCCCCAGUAGCGGCGAGCGAACGGGGAGGAGCCCAGAGCCUGAAUCAGCAUGUGUGUUAGUGGAAGCGUCUGGAAAGGCGCGCGAUACAGGGUGACAGCCCCGUACACAAAAGCGCAUGUGCUGUGAGCUCGAUGAGUAGGGCGGGACACGUGGUAUCCUGUCUGAAUAUGGGGGGACCAUCCUCCAAGGCUAAAUACUCCUGACUGACCGAUAGUGAACCAGUACCGUGAGGGAAAGGCGAAAAGAACCCCGGCGAGGGGAGUGAAAAAGAACCUGAAACCGUGUACGUACAAGCAGUGGGAGCACGUGACUGCGUACCUUUUGUAUAAUGGGUCAGCGACUUAUAUUCUGUAGCAAGGUUAACCGAAUAGGGGAGCCGGAGGGAAACCGAGUCUUAAUUGGGCGUUAAGUUGCAGGGUAUAGACCCGAAACCCGGUGAUCUAGCCAUGGGCAGGUUGAAGGUUGGGUAACACUAACUGGAGGACCGAACCGACUAAUGUUGAAAAAUUAGCGGAUGACCUGUGGCUGGGGGUGAAAGGCCAAUCAAACCGGGAGAUAGCUGGUUCUCCCCGAAAGCUAUUUAGGUAGCGCCUCGUGAAUUCAUCUCCGGGGGUAGAGCACUGUUUCGGCUAGGGGGCCAUCCCGGCUUACCAACCCGAUGCAAACUGCGAAUACCGGAGAAUGUUAUCACGGGAGACACACGGCGGGUGCUAACGUCCGUCGUGAAGAGGGAAACAACCCAGACCGCCAGCUAAGGUCCCAAAGUCAUGGUUAAGUGGGAAACGAUGUGGGAAGGCCCAGACAGCCAGGAUGUUGGCUUAGAAGCAGCCAUCAUUUAAAGAAAGCGUAAUAGCUCACUGGUCGAGUCGGCCUGCGCGGAAGAUGUAACGGGGCUAAACCAUGCACCGAAGCUGCGGCAGCGAUCGUUGGGUAGGGGAGCGUUCUGUAAGCCUGUGAAGGUGUGUCGUGAGGCAUGCUGGAGGUAUCAGAAGUGCGAAUGCUGACAUAAGUAACGAUAAAGCGGGUGAAAAGCCCGCUCGCCGGAAGACCAAGGGUUCCUGUCCAACGUUAAUCGGGGCAGGGUGAGUCGACCCCUAAGGCGAGGCCGAAAGGCGUAGUCGAUGGGAAACGGGUUAAUAUUCCCGUACUUGGUGUUACUGCGAAGGGGGGACGGAGAAGGCUAUGUUGGCCGGGCGACGGUUGUCCCGGUUUAAGCGUGUAGGUGUGUGUUCCAGGUAAAUCCGGUUCACUUUAACACUGAGGCGUGA